ensembl:lncRNA
GAUUUAUCCUAGGGCCCAGGAGAGCCACGCUGAGCACAAUCCCUCCUGGAUUAACAUGUGUUUGAAGAGUCUGCAUGCAGACAACUGAUGCUGAAAAUCCUGAUGACAGCCUGAGCGUGUUUGUUGGGAAGUGUCACCUCAGCGGCACAGGGACAUCCCUCAGCCUACAGAGGGGUGAGAGAGACAGAGAUCCAAGUUCCCUGUGAGAGCAAUGAUGUUUCAUCAAAAGGUAACAUCUGGCAGUUUGUUUGGUGUGAGACGGCUAAAUAUCAGCUUGCAGAGUUGCUUAAGAUGUAGGGCUGUGCUGUGUAGACUUUAUUCAGCUGUUACUCAGGGCUUGGGCACCUGGGCCUCCUGACUGGUCAGCUGAAUGAGCCGAUGCAGGUAAAACUGCAGCAGAGCUGUCUACAUGCCUACAGGUGGCUGUUCUCUAUAGGCAAGGGCUGCUGGUCCACAUCACCCCUUUGGGAGACCUGAGAAGGAGAACACACUCCGCCCUCCUUGUACAUAGCUCUUUGAUUCUGGGAUCAAGACUUUGGAAUUUCUAAGAUGUCUUUUGGUUUAUUUAUAGUUCAGGGAAAGUGGCAAUACAAGGAGUGCUGGUACAUUCCACUCAAUGUGGGAAUAAGGGUGGUCAUACAAAGAGCACAGCAGUCAGCUUGUGUGGGUGGGCUGGCGAGCAGCAUACCCAUGAGGGUCUGAAAAGCACAUGUGCGCACUGUUCCUGGCUACAUCUUGAAGUGCUCACUCUAUUAUUUGCUCAAAUGGGCUGUUAACAUCAGAGAGGCUGUCUAUAUCAAGCAGAAGCAUACUCAGAAUGAGAGCAGCAGCAUUAGAUGCCUUGUGGUGGGGAAGGGAAUACUAGAGUUUUACGAAAGAAUAUGCUUUAAAAAGCAAUCUGAAGGCCAAAGGGAUAUGAGGGGUGGGCAGGAAGCAGCCCUCUUGCCCUGUAGCUAGAAUGGGUUCUGACCCAAGAGCAUUGCGGAUACAAGGAGGCUGAAAGACACGGCUGCUUCUUAGUUCAGAGUUUUGGGCAGCUCAUUUGUUUGCUUGUUUGUUGGCUCUGUAGCUGUACUGGCUUGUUUCCUUGUUCAUUGUUGACUCACCAAUUUUGUUUAAUUCCUUGUCAUUUCCAAAGAGACCAAUUAAGGCCAUUUCCUUCAGCUUCAUCAUUAGAGACAGGGUUCUGUUGUGUGCUCUGGUGACACAACAAACCUGGUGCAACCGUCCCAGCCUUUGGGGAGACCCACGAGGAAACUGGAACCUGUGUUUCUCUUAUCUUGAGUAGUUCUUCGCAGACUUCUGCACAAAGGUGGCUUUGAGUUACUGGGAGCAGGGGGAAAGCGGUGUCCCACAUGAGGACGUUCAGUAACACAUACAACUUGGGUCUUAAUUUAAGGUUUAACCAAAAGAAAGGUGUCAAAAUAUUGAUCUUUCCAGGCUGCGUGCAGCAUGCACGAGAGCUGGCUGCAGAAGUGUUACUUCAGUCUGUAUCAGGACAGCUGAUGCUGAUACAAGAUACUAAUAUAAAUAUUAUUCAAAGGUUCAUUUUUCUCCGUUAGCAUGGCUGCAAGUGGUCUGGAAUUCUUUACUUUCCUAUUUCAUCCCUAAAUAUUACUUUAAAAACACACAUUAAGUGGAUUGCCUUUAUGGCUAUGCAUACAUAUAUUUGGUGUGGUCAGUGAUGUUUAUGGAAGAAAGAUAAAACCUGGGUCAAAGUCAUGCCAAAGUACAAGUCUACUUUCUUUAUACAUUGUAACAGGAAAGCAAGGAUGAAAGGAUGUAGCUACUGUCCCGUAGUACCUGUUGAUGGAUGCAGUCUCCUGCUGGAAGAUUUUCUAGCAUCUUAUUUUUGUGAGGGGAUGAAAAGUAUUACAUUUUUACCAGAUCGAAUGAGAGGUAGAUGGAAAUUUUCCUUUUUUUGUGUUCUGGGUACAAACAUUAUGUAUCUGGAGACUGCUAUCGAAGAGCAGAAAUGAUGCUUAGUCCUUGCUUUGUUUUUUAACUAAUUAAACCAGUUAUUUUCUCUUGUCCUGUGCCCAGGAGCAAGUGUACCUUCCCCACACACUGUGUACGAGCACCCUGUGGUCAGCAAAUGCCAGUCCAGCUGUUCCCAUUGGAUGCAAUCACUGGCAGAACUGGGUUUGGAGGAACCAAAGAGCCUGUGCUUUCCUUUCCAUCCAUGAAACAAGCUUUUGGCUUCAAAACUUAAAUAAGAAGCUCACUGAUAGAUUUCCAUGUUGUAUAAAUUAAUGCAAGAAGAAAGGGAAAGUAUGCACAGCAACAGAGGGGUUUAUAGCCCUGAAGGAGCAAUGAAAGGAGAUGGACGUUUCUGCCCGCUGCAUUUAUUGGGAAAGGAGAGGUAAUUACACCGUGGUUGUGUUGCUGCCAAGUUAUAAUGUGGAUAGGAUGGUGUCUUUCAAGGAGACUAUCAAAUGGUUCAGUAGCAUGGAUAACCAACUGUGGUUUUUUCUGCAUGAUGACACCAGGCCAUAAUAACUGGUUGGGAAUAACGAUGCUAUAUUUUUCCAUUAAAUAAAGUUUUAUUUGUAGGACAUUGACUGAUUUUUAAAGUAACGUAGACUUUCCUUACCACUAAAGCCCACAUAUUUAACACACAGCCAAACUGUUCUCUCUGAAACCACAUUAUGCAUGUUGUAACAAUACUCUCCCACAGACGAUGAACACUGAGGACAUAUUUUUCCAUGUGAAUCAUCCAUUCACUUAAAAAAUACAUUCCCUUAUUAAAAAAUGCAGCCAUGUGACAAGUUUUGCAGUGCUGUGUUCCACUUCUCUUUUUCAUUAGACUAUUAAAAAUUUAUUGCUGUUUCAAAUCAUUUUCUGAUGACUGCAUAAUUUUUCCUCCUUAUUCCCCUCGUUUCCUUUCCAAGAUAAUAUCAAGCAGUUUCCACCUUCGCUUUGCUGCGAGUGCACCUAAGUAAAAUAAAUGACCAAGAACUGAUCCUGCAGUGAGAUGAAUGCAAAUAGAUCUGCAUUGCUUCCUUCAAACCAGCGGUCACACAUUGACCCAUAAAGCUGCCGGUUGGCAUUUCUCUGCCAAGUAAGGCCACAAAAGAGACAUGAAGUUGUCAUUACAAUCCCUGUCUCUGAUCACUGAGAAAUACGGAGUCCCUGCAAUUUUGUAUGUUUUCCUCUAAAACUAGAAGGUUAAGAGGGAGCAUGAAAAGCAUAUGUUGCUGCUGAAAGGCUGGUAGUCUGGGUUGGUAUCCAUUACCAGAUGCUGUUCUGC